rnacentral:rRNA from 1 species
UACGGAGGAGGCAAGCGUUAUCCGGAAUUAUUGGGCGUAAAGCGUCCGUAGGUGGCUCUCUCAAGUCUGCGGUCAAAGACCGGGGCUCAACCCUGGAAAGGCCGUGGAAACUGGUGAGCUAGAGUGCGGUAGGGGCAGAGGGAAUUCCCAGUGUAGCGGUGAAAUGCGUAGAGAUUGGGAAGAACACCGGUGGCGAAAGCGCUACUGCUGGGCCGCAAC